rnacentral:rRNA from 1 species
CCUACGGGUGGCAGCAGUGGGGAAUAUUGGACAAUGGGCGAAAGCCUGAUCCAGCCUUGCCGCGUGUGUGAAGAAGGCCUUCGGGUUGUAAAGCACUUUCAGUGGGGAAGAAAGCCUUGGGGCUAAUACCCUCGAGGAAGGACAUCACCCACAGAAGAAGCACCGGCUAACUCCGUGCCAGCAGCCGCGGUAAUACGGAGGGUGCGAGCGUUAAUCGGAAUUACUGGGCGUAAAGCGCGCGUAGGCGGUCUGAUAAGCCGGUUGUGAAAGCCCCGGGCUCAACCUGGGAACGGCAUCCGGAACUGUCAGGCUAGAGUGCAGGAGAGGAAGGUAGAAUUCCCGGUGUAGCGGUGAAAUGCGUAGAGAUCGGGAGGAAUACCAGUGGCGAAGGCGGCCUUCUGGACUGACACUGACGCUGAGGUGCGAAAGCGUGGGUAGCAAACAGGAUUAGAUACCCCUGUAGUC